rfam:Triticum aestivum genome assembly, contig: Triticum_aestivum_CS42_TGACv1_scaffold_000340_1AL
CUAAUACUCCUUCCGUUCGAAAAUACUUGUCGAAAAAAUGUAUAAGAAUGAAUGUAUAUAGAACUAAAAUACGUCUAGAUAUAUCCAUUCCUUCGACAAAUAUUUUCGGACGAAGGGAGUAUUAU